AGACGAAUAUGACAGCUUGCUGUGAGAGACAACGAUCUUUUGUGGUGGAGCAGGACCGGCAAGGAAAGGUGAAAAAAGGGAAAACCUGAAACAAAAGAAUAAUGUAGUCGUGCUCAUGGGGUGCAGGCACACGAUUGUUUGGAGCAGACACAGCAGUCAGAUUGUCCUGCAUGUGUUCUUCUGCUCUAGCUUCAAGGUUGUGUGGUUCAGAGAGCUGUCAUCAAGGUCUUCCUCAUCCUGUUGCUCAACGACAUUCCCGUCGAGAAGAGUGAGACUGUGAAGCACAGCAGCAGAACUGUAUGAGCUGUGUUCAGAUGGCAGGAGGGUGUGGGGUUCACCAUCUGUAAACACGUGAUUGUUAGAACAAUAAGUUUGAGUGAAGCUUUGUAUCAUGUGUUGUUGACUUUUACAUGUAUGCAUUUAUUUCUUCUCCAAAGGUGAGAUCUUCGAGCAGCUGAACGAAGUACCCUUUGUGCAGAUAUUGCAGAGUCACUGUGAGGUGUUAGUGCACCUGACCCUCUUUUUUAUUAUUAUUGCCAAAUUAUUACAUAAAAGAUCAUGGUAAGACGGUUGUAUCUAACAAUAAACAAUCAUAAUGCCAUAAAACAGUAAAUA